UUUAGAUUAAACAAAUUCAUGUUUUAGUAGAAGGGAAAAAGUGUUCGAAUCUACUAUAACAAUAUGCUAAACAUAGCUUGUUGAGUAAUCCUCCUUGUCCUUGCCAUGAAUUUUCUAAAUACUUUUGUUUCUCUUUAAGACAAAACAGCAAAUAAUGAGAAACAAACUAUCUCAUAGUAGAGAAACCGAACUAAACAAAAUAGAAAGAAUAGAAAAGUGUACUUUAAAAUUCUUAUCUUGCAUGGUUUUUGCUUCUUGUUGAUCCAUGCAAGUCUAUGGUUAGGUUAUAAAGAAAAUAAGAAAUGAAGCUUCUAAUUUGUUUAUUUGUUUUACGCCUAUAAGACCAUUCUAACAAAAGAAAGAAAAACAAUUCCUAGAGCUUGAGAGUGAUAACAGUGGAAUAUUCUCUCAAAUAGUAAAUCCUAAAAGACGAUAAGGUAAAAUUUUCAAUAUUCUUUUGCGUAAAACUUGGUCUUAAAAUCUUAAUUAUUCACAUUUUUUUAAUUUUAGUGUUAAGAUCUAAUUUUUUUUUUUUUUGUGUGAUUUGACAGAAAGGAAGGUGGACAAAAAUUUGAACAUAAUGUUAUUUGGAAUGGUUUCUAUUUACUUAAUCAAAAAAAUGUAUCAGGAUUUGUAGUUAGAAAUUUAGAAUUAUUUUUAUGUAAUAUUUGUCCGAUAAGAUCAAUUUUUGCUUCGUUUUUUUUUUUGGUUUCUUUGUUGUUUAUUGUUGUGAUACGAAUAAAAUGGCAAAUCUAAA
rnacentral:lncRNA from 1 species